AUAUACAUUGCAACCUCUGAAGAUGCCUGCCAUAGAUGUGGGUGAAACGUCAGGAGAUAAUGUUUCUGGAACAUGGCCAUACAUCCCAGAAAGCUCACAGCAACCAAGAUUUGUUCAGUUAAGAGAGUGUGACUCUCCCCAGGUCACCCAUUGGGUUUCAUAGGGAGGAUUAAUAAGCAGCACAGAUUGAUUACCUUAUCCCAAAAUCUGAAAUGGUUCAAAAUCGCAUCUGCAUUGGGGUGGUUGAGAUAGUGACACAAACUUUGAUCCAUGCACACUUUCAUUUUAGAUAUUGUGGAUACACAGGCAGUCCCCGGUUACAAAUAUCCGAUUUACAAAUGACUCAUUGUUAAGAACAGGGUGUGACAUAAGGAAGUGAGAGAAAACUACCCAUUGGAAGGGAAAUUUACCCCUAAAAGAGUUGUUAUCAUGGGGAAACAAUGUCUCCACUGAAGCUUUAUCACCAAUCCUGGUUUCCACAGCAAGCCAUUUUUUUAAUCCAAUUAUCACAGGGUCAGAAAGUGAAGUGAGAUGUUCUGAACCUACAGCAAAACAAACACCACAGGGCUGUUAACCCCUAUGCUAUCCAAAGUAUAGUAAAGAUAAGGUUUUCCCUUGACAUUAAGUCUAAUGGUAUCUGACUCUGGGGGUUGUUGCUCAUCUCCAUUUGUAAGCCGAAGAGCCGGCUUUGUCCAUAGACCGGCAUGACUGCAUGGAACACCGUUACCUUCCUGCCAAAGCGGUACCUAUUGAUCUACUCAUAUUUUGAAAGUAUAACUUCAUAUAUAUGUGCAUAUGUGUGUGUGUGUAUAGUUACACUUUCUAAAGUACCUGUUCAGCUUAAGAACAAACCUACAAAACCUAGCUUGUUCGUAAUUUGGGGACUGCCUUCAGACUAUGUGGAUAAGGCAUAUAUGAAACAUAAAUGAAUUUCGCAUUUAGACUUGGGUCACGUCUCCAAAAUAACUUGUUAUUAUGUAUUCCUAAAUCUAAAACAUUUUUGGUCCUCGAGCCUUUUGGAUAAGGCAUACUCAGGCAUACUCAGGCAGUCUGCAAGUUACGUACGAACAAGACAGGUUCUGUAGAUGUGUUCUUAAAUUGAGUUUGUAUGUAAGUUGGAGAAGUUACAUUUUUAAAGUAUAACUCCAGCCAAAUAUAUAUAUUACCUUAGGAUAGCAUAGGGAAGGGCUAACACCCCUGUGGUACUUGUUUUGCUGUCUGUGCUUCUGUUCAGAAGAUUCCACCUCACAUUGUGUCCCUGUGACAAUCACUGGAUUUUGAAAAAAUUGGCUUGUUGUGGAAACAAGGAUUGGUGAUAAAGCUCCAAUGAAGACCCCUUUUCCCCAUGAUAAUUCUUUCAGAAGUAAAUUUCCCUUCCGAGGGGUAGAUUUCUUUCACUUCCUGUUAUCUCAUUCUUGUGCUUAACUAUGAGUCAUUUUGUUGUAAUUCCGGGAUUGCCUGUACUUUGAUAUUGAUGUGGGGAACACUGGUUUCCAGGAGGCUUGAGGUGGAACUGAAGUUUAUAAUUAGGUGCGUCAAAUGGGGGAGGGAGGAGUUUAUUUCUCAUUGAGUUCAAUAGCAAAGCUCCAAUUCCAUUUAUGAAGGUUGUAUCCAGUGCCUUAAAUCUACUUUUCUCAAAUAACAUGGGGUUGGAUCUAGACUUUGUCUUGCUUUGAACCAAGAAACUGAAAAAUACAGUAUGAAACAUUUGUUAAGAUUUGUAUUGUUUUAUUGAUUUCGGCGAGUCUGCUCUAAUUGCCACCAAGAUUAGAUCCAGGCUUCCAUCUGACAGUUUUUUCUGAGUUUGUUGGAAAUAAUGGAUCGAAAGGAUGGGAGUGUGGAAUCUGUGUCUUUUAAUGACCUUGCCUCUCAGAAGUACGGAAAUGAUUCAUCUUCAGUCAUCUGCAUUCUGCACUGUACUGUUGCUUGAUGAGGAUGACUUCCUUCUAGAAGGCUAACAGGUCAUUUUACUGUCCUGGCAGCGACUGUAAUGCUACACUUACUCAGAACUGAUACUUUGGGGGGGGGUCUCAAAUUGGGAAAGGUUCAUUUUGUAGUUUUUUGUUUGAAUGGGGAAAUUAUAUUAGUUUGAGUUUUAAAAGUCAAUGUCAGUAAUGUCAAUUUGGCCCCAAAACUUAGCUUCUGCAUUUGGCUUGGUUUUAGACCUUCUGUAAAAUAUAUUGUGAUUCGAAAGGCAUCUCAUGGUAAAAAACAAAAAAGGAUGCUUUUCAAAAGGCUGAAAUUGUCCUGAAUAGUGUUUGGAAUUAACUGUAUUCUUAAAUUAAUAUUGAGUUUUUGUUCGAAAAAAUUUAGUUUUGCUUGUUGUGUACCUUCAAGUUGUUUCUGACUUAUGGCAACCCUAAGGCGUCCUAGCAUGGUGUUUUCUUAGAAGGAGUUGUUCUGAGGUGGGUUUUCUUCACCUUCCUCUGAGGCCUCUUCUACACUGCCAUAUAACCCAGAUUAUCAAAGUAGAUAAUCCACUAUCUGUUUUGAACUGGGUUAUAUAGUCUACACUUCCAUAUAAUCCAGUUUAAAUCAGAUAAUCUGAAUUUUAUAUGGCAGUGUAGGAGGGACUGAGACAGAGGUUUCUUCUACACUGCCCUAUAAUCUAGAUUAUCAAAGCAGAUAAUCCAUAUUAUCUGCUUUGAACUGGGUUAUAUAAAUCUACACUCCCAUAUAAUCCUGUUCAAAGCACAUAAUCCAUUUUAAAAGGCAUGAAUUCAUCUUAAACAUCUGUUAAUUUACUAAGAAAGAACUUUGCUGACAAAAAAUUGAAAUGACAAAAAUAAUGUUUGCACAAGAUGGUAGUACAAACCAUGAUUGAAUUUACAUGUAGUUAAUAAUAAAUAAACUUUUAAAAGUUAAGCAAAUAUUCAACUGUGUUGUCGAAGGCUUUCAUGGCCGGGAUCACAGGGUUGUUGUAUGUCUUUCGGGCUGUGUGGCCAUGUUCCAGAAGUAUUCUCUCCUGACGUUUCGCCCACAUCUAUGGCAGGCAUCCUCAGAGAUUGUGAGGAAUUGAUAAACUAGGCAAGGAAAGGAAAAAAUAUAUAUCUGUGGACAGUCCAGGGUGUGACAAGAGUCUUUUGUCAGUUGGAAGCUAGCAUUAAUGUUUCAGUUAAUCACCCUAAUUAGCAUUGGAAAGGUUUGUCUCUUGCCUGAGGGGCAUCCUUUGUUUAGUCAUUAGCUGCCCUUGGGGCUCCUCUGUCCUCAGAGUGUUGCUUUCCCAUCUACUGUUUUGAUUUUAGAGUUUUUUAAUACUAGUAGCCAGAUUUUGUUCAUUUUCAUGGUUUCCUCCUUUCUGUUGAAGUUGUCCACAUGCUUGUGGAUUUCAAUGGCUUCUCUGUGUAGUCUGACAUGAUAGUUGUUGGAGUGGUCCAGCAUUUCUGUGUUCUCAAAUAAUAUACUGUGUCCAGGCUGGUUCAUCAAGUGCUCUGCUAUGGCUGAUUUCUCUGAUUGAAUUAGUCUGCAGUGCCUUUCAUGUUCUUUGACUCUUGUUUGGGCGCUGCCUUUGGUGGUUCCUAUGUAUACUUGUCCACAGCUGCAUGGUAUCCGGUAGACUCCUGCAUAUUCAACUAACAUUUCAUCUGAGAGUUAACUUUGACAUCCUUUGAAACCCCCAGAGACCGAAACCCAACUGGAAUUGAAACAUUCAGUACUUCACUGUGAGAGAUCCUAAGCAGCUUGGUUUCUUAUUUCUGGGAUAUGAACAAUGUGGUAAAAGUUUGCCGAUGCCUGAUAUUUAUACACACAUUAUAUAUCUAUAUAUAUAAAAGAGUGAUGGCAUCACGGCGACCCACAAAGCAACAAAACUACAGGCCCCCCAACCUCGAAAUUUGACAGCACAACCCAUCAUCCACGCCUCUAGGUUGAUACAACAAAAAGAAAAGAAAAAUAAAGUCCUAAUUAGAGAGAGAGGAAUAAUUGCUUUUAUCCAAUUGCUGCCAGUUAGAAGGCUAAGCUCCUCCAACUUGGUCUCCUAGCAACCCAAAAAAAACCACUAAAAAAUUAAUACAAUAAAAUACUAUAAUAACAGAAAAUAACUAAAAUAAUACAAGAAAAUAAUAAAAUAUAAUAAAUAAAAAGAUAACUUACAAUAAAAUUAAUUAAAAAAUGCAAAUAACGUCAAAUAAAAAUUACACAACAAUUUUUAACCAAUACCACCACCACUUUGCCACAGCAACGCGUGGCCGGGCACAGCUAGUAAUGUAUAAAACAUUUUUGGGGCUCCGCAAUAAACUUUUGCUUCUAAAGGGGCUCCGUGGCUGAAAAAAUUUGAAAACCCCUGCUUUAGGGGAAAGGAAAGAUUUUAUUGGACCAGAAUUAACAUUUUGCUAAAAUUUUGUUGAAAGUUAUCAAUAGUAUAUACACCAUAGAUAUAAGAGAAGAGAGAAGAGGACAACAAAUGGCAAAAGUCAGUAAAAGAACCAGAAUUGUGAGUCUAGGAACAUGAUUCAUAGUUUAAGAAUACAAAUUGGCAGCUUUAUUUCUGGAAGAAUGUCUUCAUCUUUAGCAGCAAUGUGAUACACAAUUCCAUGAAUUUACGUUUUGUAACAUGGAAAGCCUGUGAUUCAAAAACAUUUCAGCUUUUGAGUUCGUUUGUGAUAAAGCUGGUAAGAUCCCACCUUCUUCUUGAAAAUAGACAAUUCAGUACACUCUUACGAUUAGUAGCCAUAAAAUAAUCACUGCAAUUCUAAAUAGGUCUACUCAGAAGUAAGCUCCAUUGUACAGUGUGCCCUUGGUCUCUGCUGAGUUUGCUUCCAGAACUCCCUCUCCAUCUCGUGGAUAUCAAACUCUGAAUGUUUAAGUUCCAUUAUAUACAACAGUGCAGUAAAAUGAUGUGCCUUAUAUAAAAUAGCAAAAUCAAAGUUUGCUUUCUGGGAUUUUUUUGUUGUUGUUGUUGAAUAUUUUUAAGAUGGUUGAAUCUGUGGAUGCUGAAUCCAUGGAUAGGGAAGGCUGACUAUAAUGGUAAUCAUUGGUAAAUGGGUAAAUCUACAUAGUAGGGGCAGGAAUUUUAUAGCCCUCUGCUAUUGAGCAGCAACUCCCAGCUUAGCUUGCCCUUGGCUAUGCUGCCUAAGGAUGGGUGAUAACAGUUCAGCAACACCUAAAGGACUGCACACUUUUCAUCACUUAUGUAUAGCAUGCACUGUAGUCUCUUGUUUCUGUGAUACUUCAAUCUAAAGUAAGUGUGUAUGGGGUGGCAGCCUGAGCAUCCUUUUGAAUUAAUCAUUAUUAGAGCUGAUACAUGAGUACAUCCUACUCAACAAUCAUUAAUGCCCUUCCUUAAAUUUAUAUGAAAUGAAGGCUGAAAUACUGAGAUGUAUGAAAAUAAAACAUUCUUGACAGGAUUGGCUUUUUGCUAUGCCAUACCUGAUGUCUAAUAAUCCUCUGUUUUUAUGGGAAACUCUUGACACCUAUUGAAAUUCAUUGCAACAGUGAACUGUGUUAGUUGCUUAGCACAAAAGGUCAUGAUGCUGCUUGACCUUUUUCUAAAACUAUAUUAAAUAAAUUGUAUACAUCUGGCAGUGAAAAGUUCAUGAUGCAAAUGAGAAAUAUAUGUGAUACUCAUAAAAUCUCAGCUUUAAAAUCACAGGAUUUAUCCUUAAAGACACAAAGGAUAGCUCUCAUUUUUCCUAGCACAUUAUAUGCUUACUCACACAUAGCUCUCUGAAUUUAAUGGGACUUAUUCUCAAGUGAGUGUGACAAAGACUUCAAACCAGCAUAGUGAAACUACUCUGUAGGAUAAGACCCAUGAAAGCUCUUUCUAUCUCAGAAGUAAAGCUAGAGCAAAUGUGAUAAAACAAAGAAGUAAAAGUUAACACCUAACAUCAUGUACUUUUGUGUAAUUGCUCACCUAUAUUUCUACUCAGAUAAAUGUAGAAACAUGCAAAGUACAGAAAAAUUACAUGUAACCAUACUUUUACAUUAUGUUUACUAAAGUAUGUACAGACAUGGUAAAGAACAUAAUUUCUAACUAAUACAGUGAGCCCUUGGUAUCUGCUGGAGUUUGGUUCCAGGAUCCCCCCCCCCCCCAAAAAAAAAUAGAUGCCAGAAUCCACGGAGGCUCAAGUCCCAUUAUACACAAUGGCAUAGUAAGUUGUGUUCCCUAUAUUAAAAGGCUCGGGUUUAUGUUUGGGAUUUUUUUUUUCAAGCUAUGCAUGGUUGAAUCUGUGGAUGUAGAAUCCAUGGAUAUGAUGGGCCAACUAUAUCAAGAAGCAUAUCCUGUAUUUAUAAUUGUACUGUAUUUUUUUAGCUCAAGCGAUCAUAUUGUCCUCAAAAUGCACAUGAUUUCUGUGAUGUACACUAUAUAACCUGUUUAUAUAAUAUAUUUGGAUCUAAUCAAUCUCUUUGAAAAGAUAAUUCUAAACCUGGGGGUAAAGGAAGGCAGCAAGGCUUUCAAAAUUUAGUAAGAAGCAUGUAAGACAGUUGGUUGAAAUACAGUUAUAAUCAUACUUUUGAAGAUUUGGGUCUCUGCUAUCGGUGGCUUCAGAAACAUUUACCAAUGGCCACCUAGAGAUUGUGAAUACAUUGAUACACUAUAAUACACUAAUGGGACCUGGCAGUCAGUAUGUCUCAGGAAAACCUCACGUGGCCAUUAAAGACAUUCUAAGGAGUGUCUGCUUCUCCCUAUUUAUUAAGUUAAUGAUGUAGCUGUAACGAGAUCUUGAUAAUAUACAUCUGAACCAUAAUGUACUUCUUAAAUAGCAGACAGAAUAGUCAGUCAAAUGUCCCUGUCUUAAAACACUAAUUUGUUCUGCUUUCAGAUCAAAAAAUAUUUGUUCCUUGCUGAACAUCAGCAUCCCUUAAAUCCAAUGCAGUGUACAGCCUAAAUAUGCUAAAGGCACCAGAUUCCAACUGAAUUUGAAAGCUAAGCUGACUUAGUCCUGGUUAGUACUUAGAUGAGAGACUGCCAGGUCUGUGGGCUGUAUUUCAAAGGAAUGAAUUGACAAAACCACCUCUGAGUAUUCCUUUUCUAAAAAAAAGGCUGUUCCCUUUUUAAAGGGGUCACCAUAAGUCAACACAGGACUUGAAGACAGACAGACAGAUGUGCAUGCACACACACACACACACAUCCAUCCAUGAUCCUUAUUGGGGGAAAAAAGCUCUGUUCCCACAUUUCACAAAAUUACAUCUCUGUGAUACAUCAAAUCCAUAGGGUGUCUUGUGGGUUUGCCAAUUUGGUCUCACAAACUUCUUUAAAAAGAGUACAGGAUAUCUUGUUUUUCUUUGGAGCUAUUGCCCAUUGGAACCUACUCAAGUGGCAGCAGCAAAAUCUUUAUUACAAUCAACAGACCAUUAGGCAACACAUUAAAUGCAUAUUAAGGCAAAAUAGUUUUAAAAACUAAGCAGCUAAUGCAUAGUCACAAAGAACACUUUCUACCUUUAUCUAGGAGGUUAUGAUAUAUAGAAAUUGUUUUGUAGGAUAUGCCAUAACCUCUACACAAUUUUCAAAGGGAAGAAUAUAAUUUACAGAUGUUUGGGUGUAUACAACUGAUGGGUUGAAGACCCUGAUGGGUUGAAGGGUUUUUAAAUUGACAUAAGGUGAUCACAUUAGUAUCUGGCCCUAAGUCGGGGGAAAAUUCCAGUUUUCCUCUGAUUUUCAGUAAUAUGGGACAAAGUUACAUUGAGGUAGACUUGCCCUAGAUUACUGCGGAUCGACACCAUGUGGUGUUUGGCUACAAGAAGGCAGAGCCUAAUCUGCAUCGACCUAAGUGGUCAGUGUAUAUGGGGCUUACAUGUUGAUCCCCCAAUGUAAAAGGUGCCUUUCAGUGAAUCCUGUCUGAAAAGGCUAGAAACUAAUCAGUUAUGUAAAACACAAGGGGAUCGGCUACUCUUGACCUCAUCCUAACAAACACGGAGGACCAGAUCAAUGCAGUUGAAGUGGCUGGAUCCUUAGGGGCAAGUGACCAUAUGCUCCUGCAGUUUGCAAUACAAAGGAAGGCCAAAACAAAAAAAAGUCAAACCCGCAUUAUGGACUUUAGGAGAACUGACUUCCAAAAAAUGAAGGAAAUACUGCAUUGGCAUUCCAUGGAUGCCAAUACUAAAAGACAAGGGAGUCAAGGAUGGAUGGGAGUUUUUCAAAAGUGAAAUACUCAAGGUGCAAAUACAAAUAGUGCCAACAAAGAAUAAAAACAAGACAAGUGCAAAGAAGCCAGAAUGGAUGUCCAAAGAACUUCUAACUGGUCUAAGACUAAAAAAAAGACAUGCACAAGAAGUUGAAAAAGGGAGAAAUCACCAAAGAAGAAUUCAAACAAUUAACCAACUCCUAUAGGGAAAAGGUUCACAAGGCCAAAGCGCAAAACAAGCUCAGGCUUGCCAGAGACAUUAAAAACAAUAAAAAGGGCUUAUUUGCUUACUUCAGUAGGAAAAGAAAGAACAAGGAGGCGAUAGGGCCUCUGCAAGGCGAAGAUGGGGAAAUUCUGACAGGGGAUAGGGAAAAGGUAGAACUAUUUAAUGCCUUCUUUGCCUCAGUCUUCUCACAAAAAGAAAGCCAACCUCAACCUCAGCAACAUGGAGUGGAUGAAGGAUUGGGGGAAAUCCAACCCCAAAUAGGGAAAGAAAUCAUCCAGGAAUACCUGGCUGCUCUAAAUGAAUUUAAGUCUCCAGGGCCGGAUCAACUACAUCCAAGAGUAUUGAAGGAACUAGCAGAAGUUAUUUCGAAACCACUGGCAAUCAUUUUUGAGAGUUCUUGGAGAACAGGAGAAGUCCCAGCAGAUUGGAGGUGGGCGAAUGGGGUCCCUAUCUUCAAGAAGGGAAAAAAGGACAACUCAAACAAUUACCGUCCUAUCAGCCUCACGUCAAUACCAGGCAAGAUUUUGGAACAGAUAAUUAAGGAAGUGGUCUGCAAACACUUAGAAACAUAUGUGGUAAUUGCUAAUAGUCAACACGGAUUUACCAAAAACAAAUCAUGCCAGACUAAUCUGAUCUCUUUUUUCGAUAGAGUUACAAGCUGGGUAGAUGCGGGGAAUGCCGUGGAUGUAGCCUAUCUGGAUUUCAGUAAGGCCUUCAACAAGGUCCCCCAUGACCUUCUGACAAACAAGCUAGUCAAAUGUAGGCUAGGCAAAACUACGGUUAGGUGGAUCUGUAAUUGGUUAAGCGUGCUCACCAAUGCAUCUUCUUCAUCUUGGAAAGAAGUCACAAGUGGAGUCCUGGGCCCGGUUCUGUUCAACAUCUUUAUUAACAACUAAGAUGAAGGGUUAGAAGGCACGAUCAUCAAGUUUGCAGACGACACCAAACUGGAAGGGAUAGCUAACACUCCAGAAGACAGGAGUAGAAUUCAAAACGAUCUUGACAGAUUAGAGAGAUGGGCCCAAACUAACAAAAUGAAGUUCAACAGGGACAAAUGCAAGAUACUUCACUUCGGCAGAAAAAAUGAAAUGCAAAGAUACAGAAUGGGGGAUGAUGCCUGGCUCGACAUGUGAAAUAGACCUUCGAGUCCUCGUGGACAAUAAGUUAAACAUGAGCCUACAAUGUGAUGCAGCGGCGAAAAAAGCCAAUGGGAUUUUGACUUGCAUAAAUAGGGGUAUAGCAUCUAGAUCCAGGGAAGUCAUGCUCCCCCUCUAUUCUGCCUUGGUCAGACCACACCUGGAAUACUGUGUCCAAUUCUGGGCACUGCAAUUGAAGUGAGAUGUUGACAAGCUGGAAAGCGUCCAGAGGAGGGCAACUAAAAUGAUCAAGAGUCUGGAGAACAAGCCCUACGAAGAGCGGCUUAAAGAACUAGGUAUGUUUAGCCUACAGAAGAGAAGGCUGAGAGGAGACAUGAUAGCUAUGUACAAAUAAGUGAGGGGAAGUCAUAGGGAGGAAGGAGCAAGCUUGUUUUCUGCUGCCCUGCAGACUAGGACAAUGGCUUCAAACUACAGGAAAGGAGAUUCCACCUGAACAUCAGGAAGAACUUCCUCACUGUGAGGGCUGUUCGGCAAUGGAACUCUCUCCCCCGGACUGUGGUGGAGGCUUCUUCUGUGGAGGCUUUUAAGCAGAGGCUGGAUGGCCACCUGUUGGGGGUGCUUUGAAUGAGAUUUUCCUGCUUCUUGCAGGAGGUUGGACUGGAUGGCCUGUGAGGUCUCUUUCAACUCUACGAUUCUAUGAUUCUAUGAUUCAUAUAAAUAGGACAGGAAUAUUUAAAAUAAAACUAUUUUUUCUAGGGCAGGAUAUACACUAUGUGGUUUUCAUAGAUUAUGCUGGCAUGGGUAGUCUAAUGAAAUAAGUAUUGGAAAAAACAGCACUUGUUCUUGCUGCUCUUUUGUCCACUGGGGAUGGGAUAGGAUGGUUUGGGCAGAAAGAUAAUAUUUUGUCUUCCUUUCCUGCUUGCUUUUGCCUCCUCUGUCAGCAACCUAUCCCAAAAGUGUUAUGGGUAGAUUACAUUGUCUGGUCAUUAAUUGACCAUGUCGUUAAUUGACUGCCCUCCAUUGUAAAAAAAAGUACCAGAGCAGACUAAACCCUCUGCUCUCUACACCAUGUUUCCCUCCCACCCUUUUCUGUUUUAGAUAAAUUUAAAAAGGAUCAGACUAUUUCUAUCUAAGAAUAUAUUUCCUUAUUACAUGUUCCUGCUGCUGAGGAUUCUAAACUUAUUUCUCUGCCUACUUUUUUUUUUCAAUUUCACCAUCCUAAGAUGGGCACUUUAGUUGUGAGUGGAAUAAAGGCUCUAACACAGUGGUUCUCAAUCUGGGGUCCCCAGAUGUUUUUGGCCUACAACUCCCAGAAAUCCCAGCCAGUUUACCAGCUAUUAGGAUUUCUGCUAGUUGAAGGCCAAAAACAUCUGGAGACCCCAGGUUCAGAACCACUGCUCUAACAGGUCAUUCAUUUCAAAAAUAAAAUCUCACUGUUAUCUUUUUUUAACAAUAAAUGAUUGGACAAUUGGAAAUAAUCUCAAAAGGUAGAAUGCUAUUUGAUGUACCCCCAAGACAACAAUACGGGACAAGUAUGUGUCAUCCCCACAUAAUGUUUGCAGCUGCACAUCUUUUCACAUAGAAUUAAGGAAUGGAGUUGCAAAAGAAAAGUUUAGGUGUAACACCAGCAAUAAAAAUGUAAAACCAGAAUGAAAGUAGAAAUAGCAAAAUUAAUUGUAUCCUACUUUCUCAAUGCAGUACAGUGUUCCCUCACUUAUUGCUGGGGUUAGGUUCCAGGACCACCCGCAAUAAGUGAAAAUCCGUGAAGUAGGGACACUAUAUUUAUUUUAAUAUUUAUACAUUAUUUUAGUAGUUAUACACUAUUUUAUGUCUUUAUCAACCAAUCGUGUGUUGAUAAAUCUCCUCCUUCUCUUCCUGUUGCUGCUUGGGCUCCUUUUCUCUCCCUUUGACUUCCCCUUUCUCCCUACCCUAGGCUGUAAAUUGUAAUUUUUAUGAUUUAUAAUAGUCUUUUAGAGUUUAUUGAAAAACCGCGAAACAGCGAAUACGCGAAAAGUGAACCGCAAAGUAGUGAGGGAACACUGUAUAUGCUUUAAGGCAGUAGGCCUAUAACCUUUCUGAGAAGGCCUCUAAUCUUAGUGAAUUAUUCAAUUUCUGUCAGUGUUGCUUAGACAUUUUUUCCUGAAUAACAACAGCCCAAAAUUGUCUCUGAAAUUUGGCAGGAAUGUUGUAUAGCAUAAGAUGUGAGACUACAAACAUUUCUUGUGGAAUAACAGAGCUCUCAUGUCAAUAUAGGAGUGGAGGAAAUAAACUACCAGCAAAUAAACUACUGGGAGAUUUACACUGUUCAUUUGAAGUCACUUUACAGUCUUCUCCCAGAGGUUUUGCUAAAUAUACAGUGAUGAAAAGGAUAAACUGAAUCCUGUGAGAAUGAGAGAGUAAACCUCUAGAAUAGAAAGCUUCUCAUUACAGCUGUGUGACAGCGCUUCAGAAGGGGAUAAGCCAUUGUAUAACUUGUCCUUGUGGACAGCGUGGAAUUUCGGGUAACAACUACAAAAAGAUGCAUCUAUAAGUGCUAUGUAAAACAAUGUUAUAUAAGUGUACUUUGUCUUGAGAACUCUAGUGUUGUGAAGAAAUUUGUGGUUCUGCAAAAUUUGCUGAGUGUCAGUCCAAAACAUUUUGUUGCAUGAGGUGGCAUAGCAAAAGGCACCCUCCUCAUGCAGGUUAAAGUGCAGAGUAUCCAAGGUCACUUGUGUUAUUGUGUUACACAAUUGAGAAAAUUCGACAAGCAUGUCUCCAUCCCUAACAGUAAAUGAUUGCAAACACGUAGUAAAUAACCAAUAGUUCAUUGCCCGUUUUUUAUUCUCAAAGUCUGUUGUCCACUUCACUGUACUUUGUUGUAGAGCUGAUGCUGUGAUUAAGAUUGCUGUAGAAUUUCAAAGAUACCCAAUUAUCUACAUGACCUAAUGUUUCAAAGCACUCGGAAGUUAUUGAAGUGUUAGUAGUGUAUUAUGUUUAAUUUGAGUAAAAUUCAAUUUUGCUAACAACUGUAAAAAGAGAACAAGACUUUUCAGUACUGCGGCCAUAAACCUCUUCUUUCUCCUGACACGUGGGUAGUCAUGUUUCCAUGGUAUUACUUGGUAGUCACCACUUAUCGUGCACCUGCUGCCUGCUUUUGCAAUACAUUAUCAUUUGGUCACAUAGGUUGAUCUGCUAUUUCAUGAGGAAAUGCUGUGUCGAUAGUCCUGUCUUUGAAUAAAGAAACUACGUAUUAUAAUUUUACAAAAAUAUUGAAGGACAGAUAAGGAUGGAAAGAGGCUGAGAAAUGAAGACUCUUGCUGCUUUUCCCUCCAACUGAAUGCCCAAAGUGAUAUGAUAAUUAAAAAGACGUUCUAGAAACAUAGACGGUCUAAGGUUGACAUCACUACAAGACUAAAGCACAUUAAAAGGAAAUGACAAGUCUAUUGCCAGAGGAUGCUGUGGAGUCCCAGGGCUCGGAUGAGCUUGAAUGUAAAAUCUGUUACAACCGCUAUAACCUGAGACAAAGAAAACCUAAAGUUCUGGGAUGUUGUCACAGAGUAUGUGCCAAAUGCCUUUGCAAGAUCAUAGAUUUUGGGGACUCUCCUCAGGGGGUCAUUGUUUGCCCAUUCUGCCGGUUUGAGACUUGCCUGCCUGAUGAUGAGCAUCAUGAACAUAUUUGCAACUCAGAAAUUACUCGGCUGGUACGUGUAGGCAGCAUGAAGAGGAGAGAGGGAAUGAAGAUUGUUUAGAGGAAGCCAUAGACUAUUUGCUGGAAAACAUCAUAAAAGAUUGAUAUGCUAAUGAGGGCCUUGGGGAAAUGGCUCAAAAUCCUUGAGAAGAGGAACAAGCAUCUCUGGUGUAAUUUGCAAGAAGAGAGAGCUUCAUGUCAACACAGUCACUGAACAAUAUUCUAUGUUUUUGCCAAUGGGCUCUACCCUCCCAUAUGAAGUUUAUGAUUCUGAUCUCCCUCUCUUCCAGUUAUCUCAGGUUAUUUCCCAAUCUUUACAUUUCUUGGCUUAUAGUCUGAGGUACUUAUCAGUUUAUUUUUCAGAAAUUUUAUCUUGGAAGAAAAAGAAGAGAAGCAAGGAACGAAGCAAAGAAAAUAGAAUGUGAAGGGAAAAAAGACAAAUGCUAAUGAAACUAUGUGAAUAAAGAAAUGGUUUUGUCUUCUUUUCAA